rfam:Haemophilus sputorum HK 2154 ctg120006325161, whole genome shotgun sequence.
GUAUCAUCACCAUUUAACCUGAUAUCUUUCGGGCAUUUGGUGUGGACGGAAGAUAUUAAAAUCUUCCGAGCACGCAUAAAUAAACAACAAUAGCAGUUUACAUAAAAUGCACCCCUCGGAAGGCAACUUUCGAGGGGUUUUCUUU